UGAAGUGGAGAAAGGUUCCAUGUGAACAGCAGUUGAACAUGGGUCAGUCGAUCCUAAGAGAUGGGCGAACGUCGUUCGGAAGGGAGGGGCGAUGGCCUCCGGCCGAUCGAAAGGGAGUCGGGUUCAGAUCCCCGAAUCCGGAGUGGCGGAGACGGGCGCCGUGAGGCGUCCAGUGCGGUAUCGCGACUGAUCCCGGAGAAGCUGGCGGGAGACCCGGGGAGAGUUCUCUUUUCUUUGUGAAGGGCAGGGCGCCCUGGAAUGGGUUCGCCCCGAGAGAGGGGCCCAAGCCCUGGAAAGGGUCGCGGUUCCGGCGGCGUCCGGUGAGCUCUUGCUGGCCCUUGAAAAUCCGGGGGAGAGGGUGUAAAUCUCGCGCCGGUCCGUACCCAUAUUCGCAGCAGGUCUCGAUCUAUAAGCCCA
rnacentral:ncRNA from 1 species